UUCUCCCCUUGCAGAAAUUAUCUUUUUUCACAAGAGAGAAAAAUAGUAUGAAAAUCCAUAAUUCUCUGAACACUACUUUUUCAUACUAAUGGUAGUAGUGCACUGAAUAAUAUUUAUUUAAUAAAAUAAUGCAA